rnacentral:rRNA from 1 species
UACAGAGGUCCCGAGCGUUGUUCGGAUUCAUUGGGCGUAAAGGGUGCGUAGGCGGCUUUCUAAGUUUGAUGUGAAAUCCCGGGGCUCAACCCUGGAAUUGCAUUGAAUACUGGGAGGCUAGAGUACUGGAGAGGAAACUGGAAUUUACGGUGUAGCAGUGAAAUGCGUAGAGAUCGUAAGGAAGACCAGUGGCGAAGGCGAGUUUCUGGACAGUUACUGACGCUGAGGCACGAAGGCCAGGGGAGCAAACGGG